ACGUUUUUGGCUGUCAAAAUACACGAAACUGUUCAUCUUCAAUAUCCUUUUCCAAUUCACAUCCAAUUUCUUUUCUCAAUGCAAACUUUUCAAUUCUCAUCCUCUCCCCUUUUAUACCUCAACCACGAGGAAGCUAACACAACUUUCGAAUGCACAUCAACUGCAUGUUGCCUCGCCGGCCAGAGCCGGAAUAAUUUAAUAUCCGACAUUAGGUUGGAAAUUUAUGUGCUCCAGUAGAAGAGUGGACAGUUGGUAGAACCGAACUCACCUCACUCAUGGUUGUAGAGAGGAGACAUGUUUGGCUGCAAUCAAUGGAAGUUCCACUGGAUCAAUAUCAUCACCAUCGGCUGGAUUGGGACCUAGCGAAAAUGUGAGCGGAUGUAGUAAAGCUUCUUGGAUGGUGGUUUUGGCUCUCAUUCAUCACUUAUUUGCUGCUCAUGGUUUCACUUUAUGCAUAACAGCAAAAUAUGAAAAUAGGCACUAAUUGGCAAGAGAAAAAAGCUUUCCUGUUAUUUGUUCAGGCUGCACAUGUUAAAAAUUUUAGGAAUAUCAAAUUAGGUGUUACUAUCGAUGUAGAACAGAACUGAUGAUGACAGACCAACUUAUUAUCUAAAAAAGUCCAUUCUUAGUUGUUUUCUUAUGGUUAUUUCCUUUCUAUCAUGCAGCUAUCAGUUUUCUAUACUGCUUUUGAUUUGGGAUGACAUAUAUGUUGGCUUAGGUGUUAGUUCUGGUUAUUGGUUUUAGUUUGCUUAGCUGUGUUGUACAUGAGUAUUAACUUGUGUAUUAUGGCGGAUGAUGGCACCACUUGUGCGUUUGUCUUUUCUUUAAUGAUAAUUUUUAUUGGCUGUUCCAAAAAAAAUUACUCUUUGUGUGAAUGCAGGAGACGGCAAAUGUUUUGUCAAAGAGUGCAGAAGAAUGUUUUGCUUAUGGUAUGGACUCAUUUGUAUCAAAACCUGUGAGUUUAAAAAAAUUGAAAGAAUGUAUUGAACAAUAUACUUAAGGUGAU